CCCCUGGUGGCUCAGACGGUAAAGCGUCUGCCUACAAUGCGGGAGACCCGGGUUCAAUCACUGGCUGGGGAA
rnacentral:tRNA from 1 species